rfam:Daphnia magna strain Xinb3 scaffold00389, whole genome shotgun sequence.
GAUGUGACGUGUCGCUAGCGAGGUAUAGAGUUCCUACGUCUUGUCACUGAUUUCAAGUCGAUCGGUAGGAACUUCAUACCGUGCUCUCGACGCCAAUCCAAA